GAUGAACGCUAGCGGCAGGCUUAACACAUGCAAGUCGAACGGUAACAUAGAGAGCUUGCUUUCUGAUGACGAGUGGCGAACGGGUGCGUAACGCGUAUGCAACCUACCUAUAAUCGAGGUAUACCCCAGAGAAAUUUGGAUUAAUCCCUCAUAGUACAACGAAUUCGCAUGUUUUUGUUGUUAAAACUUCGGUGAUUAUAGAUGGGCAUGCGUAUCAUUAGAUAGUUGGUAAGGUAACGGCUUACCAAGUCUACGAUGAUUAGGGGUUCUGAGAGGAUUUCCCCCCACACUGGUACUGAGACACGGACCAGACUCCUACGGGAGGCAGCAGUGAGGAAUAUUGGACAAUGGAGGAAACUCUGAUCCAGCCAUGCCGCGUGAAGGAUGACGGCCCUAUGGGUUGUAAACUUCUUUUAUGUAGGAAGAAACCCAGAUACGUGUAUCUGGCUGACGGUACUACACGAAUAAGCACCGGCUAACUCCG
rnacentral:rRNA from 1 species